rnacentral:rRNA from 1 species
UACGGGGGGGGCAAGCGUUGUUCGGAAUUACUGGGCGUAAAGGGCUCGUAGGUGGCCAACUAAGUCAGACGUGAAAUCCCCAGGCUCAACUUGGGAACUGCGUCUGAUACUGGAUGGCUUGAAUUCGGGAGAGGGAUGCAGAAUUCCAGGUGUAGCGGUGAAAUGCGUAGAUAUCCGGAGGAAUACCGGUGGCGAAGGCGGCAUCCUGGACCGAUAUUGACGCUGAGGAGCGAAAGCUAGGGGAGCAAACGGG